UUGACAAACUUCAGCGAGAAUUAAAUUCUUUCCGUCUGAAACGAGCCUGCAGUCUUUACGAGCAGAAAGCAAUUGAAGAUAAACUAUCAUCGGCUCAACAGUUGACUGAUAAACUGCAAAAGCAGAAGGAUUCAUUUCUGGAACAAAUAAAGGAGAUAGAUAACAGAAAUCACCAAGAUCUUGGCCCAACUACGGAUGACUCUGAAUCCGGAUUGCAAUACAGAUCUGCUACCAAAGUUCAAGACAUUUGUGCUGAGUUAGAGUCGGGAGAAUUGUGCUCACAAGGUUUAGAACAGCCCGGAAAGGAUAAUAGAAGCUCUGAACAAAAGCGUAGACUGGAGGCGAGAACAAAAGUUGAAGAUAUUUGUGCUGAGUUGGAAUUGGGAGAUUUGUGUUCGCAAAAUUCAGGACUGACUGAGAAGGAAAAUAGGAGUUUCUAUGAUGGACAAGGUAGAAGAAAUA